rnacentral:rRNA from 1 species
CUCUAAUCAACGGAUGUCUUGGCUCCUUACACGAUGAAGAACGUUGCAUAAUGUGAUAAGUAACUGGAGUUGCGAACAUUGUGACAAGUUAAUCUUUGAAUGCACAUUGCGCGUACCAUUACUUCGGUAUUGGUUGCAUGUAUGCCACAGUACU